AAAUCAGCUGUGCAUCAUCUCUGGAAUUUGGGCAGGAAAUGACUGAAUAUGGAGGAUGUAGCCAGUUGAUGAAGAUAUCAAUUCAAUGGCCACCAAGUGCAGCACUGCUGCCUGAACCCAUCAGUUAUCUGCUGUGAAGACUGCAUUCGCAAACAGCUCUACUGUGACAGCUCAGAUGUUACGGCCCAUAAAAGUAAAUUUCACAACUGAACAACUGCAAGAUAGUUGUGGAGGGAUUCUUUUGGCCCAUACCUCCAACAACCUCCCAACUAGAACCAAUGGACAUCUACACCAGGUGAUGUGUGAGGAGGACCGUCAGAGACUCCAGCCACCCGAGCUAUGGAUUGCUCUCACCGUUACCAUCAGGCAGAAGUUAUCGCAGAACCUUCACAGAGCCGAGACAAGUUCUUUCCACAGGCAAUCAGACUGAACUGAACUCGUACCAGUAACACCACACACAGCCCACCAGCCUCAUAUGCACUGCACUCUAUCACUUACACUGACUGGA